rnacentral:rRNA from 1 species
AACGAACGCUGGCGGCAGGCUUAACACAUGCAAGUCGAGCGGGCCCUUCGGGGUCAGCGGCAGACGGGUGAGUAACACGUGGGAACGUACCUUUUGGUUCGGAACAACUCCGGGAAACUGGAGCUAAUACCGGAUAAGCCCUUAGGGGGAAAGAUUUAUCGCCAAACGAUCGGCCCGCGUCUGAUUAGCUAGUUGGUGGGGUAACGGCCCACCAAGGCGACGAUCAGUAGCUGGUCUGAGAGGAUGAUCAGCCACACUGGGACUGAGACACGGCCCAGACUCCUACGGGAGGCAGCAGUGGGGAAUAUUGGACAAUGGGCGCAAGCCUGAUCCAGCCAUGCCGCGUGAGUGAUGAAGGCCUUAGGGUUGUAAAGCUCUUUUGUCCGGGAAGAUAAUGACUGUACCGGAAGAAUAAGCCCCGGCUAACUUCGUG